rnacentral:rRNA from 1 species
CAGCCGCCGCGGUAAUACGAAGGGGGCUAGCGUUGUUCGGAAUUACUGGGCGUAAAGCGCACGCAGGCGGCUCGAUAAAUUAGAAGUGAAAGCCUUGGGCUUAACCUGAGAAUUGCUUUUAAGACUGUCGAGCUAGAAUCCAGAAGAGGGUAGUGGAAUUCCGAGUGUAGAGGUGAAAUUCGUAGAUAUUCGGAAGAACACCAGUGGCGAAGGCGACUACCUGGUCUGGCAUUGACGCUCAUGUGCGAAAGCGUGGGGAGCAAACAGGAUUAGAUACCCCAGUAGUCCCUGUCUCUUAUAC